UGAAAAGCCAUCUUUGCAUUGUUCCUCCUUGCUCGCCGCAGCCGCCUCCGCCGCGCGCCUCCUCCGCCGCCGCGGACUGCGGCAGCUUUAUCGCCAGAGUCCCUGAACUCUCGCUUUCUUUUUAAUCCCCUGCAUCGGAUCACCGGCGUGCCCCACCAUGUCAGACGCAGCCGUAGACGCCAGCUCCGAAAUCACCAUCAAGGACUUAAAGGAGAAGAAGGAAGUUGUGGAAGAGGCAGAAAAUGGAAGAGACGCCCCUGCUAACGGGAAUGCUAAUGAGGAAAAUGGGGAGCAGGAAGCUGACAGUGAAGUAGAUGAAGAAGAGGAAGAAGGUGGGGAGGAAGAGGAGGAGGAAGAAGAAGGUGAUGGUGAGGAAGAGGAUGGAGAUGAAGAUGAGGAAGCUGAGUCACCUACGGGCAAGCGGGCAGCUGAAGAUGAUGAGGAUGACGAUGUCGAUACCAAGAAGCAGAAGACCGACGAGGAUGACUAGACAGCAAAAAAGGAAAAGUUAAACUAAAAAAAAAGGCCGCCGUGACCUAUUCACCCUCCACUUCCCGUCUCAGAAUCUAAACGUGGUCACCUUCAAGUAGAGAGGCCCGCCUGCCCACCGUGGGCAGUGCCACCCACAGAUGAUACGCGCUCUCCACCACCCAACCCAAACCAUGAGAAUUUGCAACAGGGGAGGAAAAAAGAACCAAAACUUCCAAGGCCAUGCUUUUUUUCUUAAAAGUACUUUAAAAAGGAAAUUUGUUUGUAUUUUUUAUUUACAUUUUAUAUUUUUAUACAUAUUGUUAGGGUCAGCCAUUUUUAAUGAUCUCGGAUGACCAAACCAGCCUUGGGAGCGUUCUGUCCUACUUCUGACUUUACUUGUGGUGUGACCAUGUUCAUUAUAAUCUCAAAGGAGAAAAAAACCUUGUAAAAAAAGCAAAAAUGACAACAGAAAAACAAUCUUAUUCUGAGCAUUCCAGUAACUUUUUUGUGUAUGUACUUAGCUGUACUAUAAGGAGUUGGUUUGUAUGAGAUGGUUAAAAAGGCCAAAGAUAAAAGGUUUAUUUUUUUUCCUUUUUUGUCUAUGAAGUUGCUGUUUAUUUUUUUUGGCCUGUUUGAUGUAUGUGUGAAACAAUGUUGUCCAACAAUAAACAGGAAUUUUAUUUUGCUGAGU
ensembl:lncRNA novel transcript